GGGAAUUCAGGGGUGAACAGACAGUCCAAGCCCUUGUUUUUGAGGACCUGGAGACAAACAAAUGAAUAAAUAAAUUCUAGAACUUCAGGACAUUCACUUGGCCAGAAGAUUGUACGACAUGGCUGCUCAAACGAGUCCAGAUGCCCACAUACCUGUGCUCUUUGCCGUCAUGAAACUGGAAACUACGCAUUUGCUCCGGGAUAUCCUGUUUUUUAAUUUCACAACGAGAUGGAACUGGCUGAAACUGGACAACACCAUUGGACCACACUGGGACUUAUUUGUGAUUGGCCUCAUUGUUCCUGGGCUGAUUUUGUUGCUUAGAAAUCACCAUGGGUAGGAUGCGGAUCACAGGAAAACCUGCUCACGGGAAUCAGUUCACUCCAAGGUAUCCCCACUAAAUAAACA
rnacentral:lncRNA from 1 species